UAUAAGCCAGUAUUUCCGAU
rnacentral:miRNA from 1 species